rnacentral:lncRNA from 1 species
CUUGGAACAUGGCUAAAAAUACAAGUAUGAAAACAUCUACCCAAUUCAAUACCAUCUUUAAUAUAAGCCUCUAUCAUAGAUUUAUCUUCACAUCAACUCCGUAAUUUUUGAAUAAUAGGCAAAGAGUCUCCUUCCACAACAACAUUUUGAAAACCUAGAUCAAGCCCCCAUUGAAGACUCUGUACCGAAGCAAGGGCCUUAGCUGUGAAUGGGGAAGGUAUAUUCCUAUUUAAAAC